UACAGAGGUCUCAAGCGUUGUUCGGAAUCACUGGGCGUAAAGCGUGCGUAGGCGGCGGGGUAAGUCGGGUGUGAAAUCUCAGAGCUCAACUCUGAAAUUGCAUUCGAUACUGCCUUGCUUGAGAGCUGAAGAGGAGGUUGGAAUUACGGUGUAGCAGUGAAAUGCGUAGAUAUCGUAAGGAACACCGGUGGCGAAGGCGGUUCUCUGGGCAUGAUCUGACGCUGAGGAGCGAAAGUGUGGGGAGCGAACAGG
rnacentral:rRNA from 1 species